AUUCCUACGGGAGGCAGCAGUGGGGAAUAUUGCGCAAUGGGCGAAAGCCUGACGCAGCGACGCCGCGUGAGGGAUGAAGGUCUUCGGAUCGUAAACCUCUGUCAGCAGGGAAGAACGGUCACUGUGCUAAUCAGCAGUGAAUUGACGGUACCUGCAAAGGAAGCACCGGCUAACUCCGUGCCAGCAGCCGCGGUAAUACGGAGGGUGCGAGCGUUAUCCGGAUUUAUUGGGCGUAAAGCGUGCGUAGGCGGCUUGUUAAGUCCAGGAUUAAAGCCCGAGGCUUAACCUCGGUUCGUUCUGGAUAC
rnacentral:rRNA from 1 species